UACGAAGGGGGCGAGCGUUGUUCGGAUUUACUGGGCGUAAAGGGCGCGCAGGCGGCCAUCUUUGUCAGGCGUGAAAGCCCGGGGCUUAACCCCGGAAUUGCACCUCAAACUACAUGGCUAGAGCAUUGGAGAGGGUAGCGGAAUUCACGGUGUAGCAGUGAAAUGCGUAGAUAUCGUGAGGAACACCAGAGGCGAAGGCGGCUACCUGGACAAUUGCUGACGCUCAGGCACGAAAGCGUGGGGAGCAAACAGG
rnacentral:rRNA from 1 species